rnacentral:lncRNA from 1 species
UGUGCACCACCCUCUCACCCAAACGAAGGCAGCUGGCCCUGAAGUUCUCUGAGCUUGAGGACAAAAAAAGACCUCUGUGAGUUGUCAGGCUCUGUUACAGUCUGGGUCAGCAGACAAGAGUCCCAGGGCUCGGCCGUCUUCUCUAGGAGAGAAAAUAUUCGUGCCAUAUAGCGUGUUCUAAGAGUUCUCACCAGAAGCCCAGAAAGUUCUGUAUUUACUCAGCAUUCAAGGGAAAACAGACCCUGUAUUUUUGGGAUUCCUGAAAGGUGACCAGGUGAGAGCAAAGCCCAACUUCCUGGGGAAAAGCUCUCAGCGCAGUGAAUGCUACAUUCGGAGGUAGGAAGGCUCUGGAUGUGAGUCUUCAUGUUUGUUUUUUGUUUUUUGUUUUUUUUUCUCUAAAAUUACCAAAAAAGAGGAAUAUCCACAGAAGCAGAAGUAGGAAUGGGGAAGGAGGGGACAAGUUUAGACCAAGCUCUUCUGUGACCUCACUUCUGCUUUUGAAGUCCCACAGCUCUAUAAGGCUACCUUCAUCCCCAAACAGGAACUGCUGCAAGGCCCGCAGCAGCCAUGGGUGAGUGGCUCUGGAGAUGGGGUAAGUGGCCUACGCACCCCAGAGGAACAGCUGGCAGCCUAGUCUUCGGGCAGCAGCUCCACUCAGCCCUGGGGAAUGACAGAUACAGGUGUGUUCCCUCAGGUGCAUAUGUGCAUGUGCUUGUGUGCAACUUCCUCCUCUGCUCUCAUUCCUGCAAGGUGCAUUCUCAGAAGGCUGUUACUCCACAGUCACUACGGUUGUGAAGCGGAACCAGACAACUUCCCAUUUUCGAGGUUCUACAAUUGGCAAUAUGGGAAAAUCUUACCCCAUUACCACCCAACUCGAUUCUUUCAAUGCAAGCUUGUCUAACCCAUAGCCUGCAGGCCACAUGUGACCCAGGAUGACUUUGGAUGUGGCCCAGUGCAAAUUCGUAAACUUUCUUAAAAUAUUAUAAGAUUGUUUUGCAAUACAUCAGUAUCGUUAGCGUUAGUGUAUUUUAUAUGUGGCCCAAGACAAUUCUUCUUCUGAUGUGGCCGAGGGAAGCCAAAAGAUUGGAUACUCCUGCGUAAGGGGGAAAUGCAUGUUUAUAGUCAUAUAUAUAUAUUUUUUUUUUCUAAUUUUUUUUUUGCACCCAGUGCAGUGGCACAAUCAUA